rnacentral:rRNA from 1 species
AGUGAACGCUGGCGGUAGGCCUAACACAUGCAAGUCGAACGGCAGCACAGGAGAGCUUGCUCUCUGGGUGGCGAGUGGCGGACGGGUGAGGAAUACAUCGGAAUCUACUUUUUCGUGAGGGAUAACGUAGGGAAACUUACGCUAAUACCGCAUACGACCUACGGGUGAAAGCAGGGGAUCUUCGGACCUUGCGCGAUUGAAUGAGCCGAUGUCGGAUUAGCUAGUCGGCGGGGUAAAGGCCCACCAAGGCGACGAUCCGUAGCUGGUCUGAGAGGAUGAUCAGCCACACUGGAACUGAGACACGGUCCAGACUCCUACGGGAGGCAGCAGUGGGGAAUAUUGGACAAUGGGCGCAAGCCUGAUCCAGCCAUACCGCGUGGGUGAAGAAGGCCUUCGGGUUGUAAAGCCCUUUUGUUGGGAAAGAAAUCCAGCUGGUUAAUACCCGGUUGGGAUGACGGUACCCAAAGAAUAAGCACCGGCUAACUUCGUGCCAGCAGCCGCCGUAA